rnacentral:rRNA from 1 species
ACGAACGCUGGCGGCAUGCCUAACACAUGCAAGUCGAACGAGACCUUCGGGUCUAGUGGCGCCCGGGUGCGUAACGCGUGGGAACCUGCCCUUAGGUUCGGAAUAACUCCCCGAAAGGGGUGCUAAUACCGGAUAAUGUCUUCGGACCAAAGAUUUAUCGCCUUUGGAUGGGCCCGCGUUGGAUUAGCUAGUUGGUAGGGUAAAAGCCUACCAAGGCGACGAUCCAUAGCUGGUCUGAGAGGAUGAUCAGCCACACUGGGACUGAGACACGGCCCAGACUCCUACGGGAGGCAGCAGUGGGGAAUAUUGGACAAGGGGCGAAAGCCUGAUCCAGCAAUGCCGCGUGAGUGAUGAAGGCCUUAGGGUUGUAAAGCUCUUUUACCCGGGAUGAUAAUGACAGUACCGGGAGAAUAAGCACCGGCUAACUCCGUG